UACGUAGGUGACCAGCGUUGUCCGGAUUUACUGGGCGUAAAGAGCGCGCAGGCGGUCGUUCAAGUCGAGUGUGAAAGCCCCCGGCUCAACUGGGGAGGGUCACUCGAUACUGAUCGACUUGAAGGCAGGAGAGGGAAGCGGAAUUCCCGGUGUAGUGGUGAAAUGCGUAGAUAUCGGGAGGAACACCAGUGGCGAAGGCGGCUCCCUGGCCUGUUCUUGACGCUGAGGCGCGAAAGCGAGGGGAGCAAACGGG
rnacentral:rRNA from 1 species